rnacentral:tRNA from 1 species
GGGCUAAUAGCUUACGAGGUCGGAGCGCUGGUCUGAAAAACCAGAGGAUGAUGGUUCGAUACCAUCUUAGCCCACCA